GGCCUCGUAGCUCAGUUGGUUUGAGCAUUGGCCAUAAUCGAGUCUUAACCUUGCUUUUAUGGGUUCAAAUCCCAGCUAGGUCA
rnacentral:tRNA from 1 species